AAAAAUAAAAAAAAAACAAAGCAAAGCAAAAAGGAAGCAGUUGAAGCCCCAUGCGAAUGCAAAGGACUUAGCGCACAAAUUAACCAUUUGAAGCACCAAAGUGUGGAUCCAGCUAAUGGCACCGUUUUCAAUUCUAUUCCCUCUUUUAUUUGCCGUUUCAACUUCACAUAAUGCUCUCAAAUUGGGAGGUUCCUUUCAACCUUGGAAUCUCCUUUGAUUUGAUUUCAACAAAACAAAGAGAAGAAAGCCAUGGCCUCUUCACACGGUAUGCAUAGCGUGGAGGAGUUAUUUGCGGAACAUGGCACGAGUGGAAGAAUCAACUAAAGGCUGGGGUGGCUGAAGCUUCUAAGGUUUCUGCUGAAAAUUCCUUAGGUGUUUUGGGCUUGGGGUGGCUAGUUGGAUUAAGUUUAAUAAUUUGAACCCAUUAUUUUGGUUGCUGGACCAUGUAAGAAAUGGACAUUGGACUAUUAUUUAUAUAUUUUUUUAGUUUUAUUUUUUUUGUUUUGGUUUUGGUGUAAGCCCGGGCACAAAUUGGGUCUGACAAACUGAUUUUAAAUGAGCAGCAAGAGCUUAGAAGAA